GAUGAACGCUGGCGGCGUGCCUAAUACAUGCAAGUAGAACGCUGAAGGAAGGAGCUUGCUCUUUCCGGAUGAGUUGCGAACGGGUGUGUAACGCGUAGGUAACCUGCCUGGUAGCGGGGGAUAACUAUUGGAAACGAUAGCUAAUACCGCAUAACAGUAGAUGUUGCAUGAUAUCUACUUAAAAGUUGCAAUUGCACCACUACCAGAUGGACCUGCGUUGUAUUAGGUAGUUGGUGAGGUAACGGCUCACCAAGGCGACGAUACAUAGCCGACCUGAGAGGGUGAGCAGCCACACUGAGAGGGAGACACGGCCCAGACUGCUACAGGAGGCAGCAGGAGGGAAUCGUGGGCAAGGGACGGAAGUCUGAACGAGAAACGCCGCGUGAGUGAAGAAGGUUUUCGAAUCGUAAAGCUCGGUUGUAAGAGAAGAACGAGUGUGAGAGUGGAAAGAUCACACUGUGACGGUAUCUUAUCAGAAAGGGACGGCUAACUACGUG
rnacentral:rRNA from 1 species